GCCUUCGUGGUGUAGCGGUAGCACACUCGGCGCGGAUUCCAGAGGUCCAGGUUCGAGUCCCAGCGAGGGCA
rnacentral:tRNA from 1 species